AUGCAUGAAAUUAGUAAGAAAACCAUUUUUUUCUGCAUGCCCAGUAUUGAGACAGAAAGGUCUGAAGGGUCUGUGAAGGUGCUUCCAUCUUCAGAUGUGCCUCAUUUGGCUCUCCUCUGCCUGAUGCAGAGUUGUGAAAGGCUCACAGGAAUUUGUGCAGAAAUUUCUUCGUCCAUAGGUGGCAUCUGCAGGUGGUCUGGCAUCACAGAAGCUGUGUGCUCUUCAUGCAGAGGGACCUCACUGUUUGUGAGAAUUGGCUGCUACGAGAUUAAGCCUGAGGUGGCUUUUUAAAGCCUUCCUCAGUCAUUCAAGCAGACUAAAAAGGUGGUGAACUCCAACCUCUGUUUCUUCAAAUCCCCUCUCUGUUGUGAUGCUUACAAAAAAUUGAGAAGGAAGUGGUAGCUGACGGCUUCUGUCAAUAGUGUUGCCAAUGUGGUUUUGUUAUUACUUGUGCUCCCCAGCUGUCUCUAUCCAAUUUUUGUCUCCCAUAAGCUGUAUGCAACGGGUCCUGAAUGCGUGCAAUGUGGAGGGAAAUGUAAACUGGGUGAUUAUGUACAAUCUUGUAAUAGAAAGAAAUAAUAACUCCUCCAACAACAUUUAAAUCCCAAUUCUCAUCCAAACACUAACCGCAAUGUCUGCCUCCCCCACAACACACACAAUUGCUAAUUCAAUCAGGGCAAGGUAAAGGCUUC
rnacentral:lncRNA from 1 species